CCUACGGGAGGCAGCAGUGGGGAAUAUUGGACAAUGGGGGGAACCCUGAUCCAGCCAUGCCGCGUGUGUGAAGAAGGCCCUCGGGUUGUAAAGCACUUUCAGUGAGGAAGAACGCCUGGUGGUUAAUACCCAUCAGGAAAGACAUCACUCACAGAAGAAGCACCGGCUAACUCCGUGCCAGCAGCCGCGGUAAUACGGAGGGUGCGAGCGUUAAUCGGAAUUACUGGGCGUAAAGCGCGCGUAGGUGGCUUGAUAAGCCGGUUGUGAAAGCCCCGGGCUCAACCUGGGAACGGCAUCCGGAACUGUCAAGCUAGAGUUCAGGAGAGGAAGGUAGAAUUCCCGGUGUAGCGGUGAAAUGCGUAGAGAUCGGGAGGAAUACCAGUGGCGAAGGCGGCCUUCUGGACUGACACUGACACUGAGGUGCGAAAGCGUGGGUAGCAAACAGGAUUAGAUACCCCAGUAGUC
rnacentral:rRNA from 1 species